UAGAGUUUGAUCUGGCUCAGAACGAACGCUGGCGGCAUGCCUAACACAUGCAAGUCGAACGAAGGCUUCGGCCUUAGUGGCGCACGGGUGCGUAACGCGUGGGAAUCUGCCCUUAGGUUCGGAAUAACAGCUGGAAACGGCUGCUAAUACCGGAUGAUAUCGCGAGAUCAAAGAUUUAUCGCCUGAGGAUGAGCCCGCGUUGGAUUAGGUAGUUGGUGGGGUAAAGGCCUACCAAGCCGACGAUCCAUAGCUGGUCUGAGAGGAUGAUCAGCCACACUGGGACUGAGACACGGCCCAGACUCCUACGGGAGGCAGCAGUGGGGAAUAUUGGACAAUGGGCGAAAGCCUGAUCCAGCAAUGCCGCGUGAGUGAUGAAGGCCCUAGGGUUGUAAAGCUCUUUUACCCGGGAAGAUAAUGACUGUACCGGGAGAAUAAGCCCCGGCUAACUCCGUGCAAGCAGCCGCGGUAAU
rnacentral:rRNA from 1 species